AACGAACGCUGGCGGCAUGCCUAACACAUGCAAGUCGAACGAGACCUUCGGGUCUAGUGGCGCACGGGUGCGUAACGCGUGGGAACCUGCCCUUAGGUUCGGAAUAACUCCCCGAAAGGGGUGCUAAUACCGGAUAAUGUCUUCGGGCCAAAGAUUUAUCGCCUUUGGAUGGGCCCGCGUUGGAUUAGCUAGUUGGUAGGGUAAAAGCCUACCAAGGCGACGAUCCAUAGCUGGUCUGAGAGGAUGAUCCGCCACACUGGGACUGAGACACGGACCAGACUCCUACGGGAAGCAGCAGUGGGGAAUAUUGGACAAUGGGCGAAAGCCUGAUCCAGCAAUGCCGCGUGAGUGAUGAAGGCCUUAGGGUUGUAAAGCUCUUUUACCCGGGAUGAUAAUGACAGUACCGGGAGAAUAAGCUCCGGCUAACUCCGUG
rnacentral:rRNA from 1 species